rnacentral:lncRNA from 1 species
GUGGCCUCUGCCAUCCCCGACGACCAGGGCUGGGGCGUCCGCCCUCAGCAGCCACAGGGACCAGGAGCGAACCAUGAUGCCAGGUCCCUAAUCAUGGACUCCCCAAGAGCUGGCACCCACCAGGGCCCCCUCGAUGCAGAGACAGAGGUCGGUGCUGACCGCUGCACGUCGACUGCCUACCAGGAGCAGAGGCCCCAGGUGGAGCAAGUUGGCAAACAGGCUCCUCUCUCCCCAGGGCUGCCGGCAAUGGGGGGGCCUGGCCCCGGCCCCUGUGAGGACCCCGCGGGUGCUGGGGUAAGAGGCUCUAGACCCUUCACCUGUCAGUCACCUGAGGGAGGCUGAGGCCAAGCCCCAUCCCUCAGAAUCAAGGCUUGCAAGCCCCCCUCACCUGCCCAGUCUCUGUCCACACCCCUCGGGCUGAAGACGGCCCUGACCAGGCCCUGGGCCUCAGCGACCACCCCUCCCCCUCCUGCCUGGACCCAGGGAGCAGGUGCAGGGGGCUCCGAGCCCCUGGUGACUGUCACCGUGCAGUGCGCCUUCACAGUGGCCCUGAGGGCACGAAGAGGAGCCGACCUGUCCAGCCUGCGGGCACUGCUGGGCCAAGCCCUCCCUCACCAGGCCCAGCUUGGGCAACUCAGUUACCUAGCCCCAGGUGAGGACGGGCACUGGGUCCCCAUCCCCGAGGAGGAGUCGCUGCAGAGGGCCUGGCAGGACGCAGCUGCCUGCCCCAGGGGGCUGCAGCUGCAGUGCAGGGGAGCCGGGGGUCGGCCGGUCCUCUACCAGGUGGUGGCCCAGCACAGCUACUCCGCCCAGGGGCCAGAGGACCUGGGCUUCCGACAGGGGGACACGGUGGACGUCCUGUGUGAAGUGGACCAGGCAUGGCUGGAGGGCCACUGUGACGGCCGCAUCGGC